UACAGAGGUCUCAAGCGUUGUUCGGAUUCAUUGGGCGUAAAGGGUGUGUAGGUGGCGCGCUAAGUCGGGUGUGAAAUUUCGGAGCUUAACUCCGAAACUGCAUUCGAUACUGGCGUGCUUGAGGACUGGAGAGGAGACUGGAAUUCAUGGUGUAGCAGUGAAAUGCGUAGAUAUCAGGAGGAACACCUGCGGUGUAGACGGCUUUCUGGACCAUUGUUGACGCUGAGACACGAAAGCGUGGGUAGCAAACAGG
rnacentral:rRNA from 1 species